ACGAUUUCACCCUGCUUUUCUGUCCUAGGUAUAAAAGCCUUCUUUUGCGACCGCCGAUCUUCUUUCUUCUCUAUCGCUCCCUUCCAUUUCUCUCUCAAAUCGCUGUCAAAUUUCAUCUUUCUCCGGCUCAGGCCAAAUUCUUUCCCCAGUAUAAGCAAAAUUCCCAACUCUUUCUGUCUUCGGGAAGCCUUUGUCAAGAUCGACAUUUACUGUUACGCAGUAUCAGACUCAGCAGCAGUAAUUGGUCGGUGUCGCCGCCAUCAAGGGUUUCCUCUUCCCUUUUUACCCAAUCUUCUCAGAGAUUGAAGAAAAUAACCUUAGGAUUGUUGAAUUUUGUACCCGAUUGAGAUCAAAUUUCAGUCUUUUUUUUAUUCUUCUAACUGCAGGCACGAUAUCGGCAUAUUGAUUUUGCUCCAGUCUAUGGCAAUGAGAAUGAGGUAAUUUUGGUUGCAAAACCCGAUCACAUGAUUGCAUGCCUAAUUUCUAGACCCAAAAUGGGUCAAAGAGAAUGAAUAUACAUUGCAUGUGGGGUCUUUUUGUUUUGUUUAUUGGUUUUUAUGUGUUGCUAUCAAUUUAAUUGUGAAAGAAAGCUUUGGAGGAGAACAUAAUUGUGUAUCUGGAAACUGAUUGUGGAAAGACCUAAAUAGUCGUGUUGCUUAUGUAUGAACCAGUUGAUACUCAAACCUCAGAAGAACAUAUGUGUGCUAAAUCCUGAAGAUCUUUGUGGUAUAUAUGGAUCAAAUUGCUCCCAAUGGAUUAUUGCAAUGGAGUAUUAGAAAGAAUGUGGCUAUCAUGAAGCCUCAUGAAGCAGCCAAAUUAGUUGCAGAAUGAGAUUUUUCAUGUAAAAGGGCACUCCCCUGAACUGAAAGAGUAGGCCAAUCUUAUCUUAGACUGAAGCAUUUUCUUUUUGGUAAUCGCCUUUAUAAAGUAAAAUGUCCACAAAUCUACUUCAAAUUUCAUGUUAUUCUUAGACCUGCAAGACAUCGUGAGUCUCCAAGCUGAUAAACACUCUUUAUCUUUCUUCAUGAUUGUCUUUCAAACUUCGAGUAUCGCAAACCUCAAAUUAAUUGAUUACUUUUGCAACUUAUUUAGAAAGUCUGGUUAGACUGCUUAUUUCACUUUUGUUGUUAUUGAUAAAAGUUGAGUUUGCAAUACACCUGUUACAAGUUUUUCGUCGUUUAUAUUGCCGGGCAUACCAUUGGAAGCAUGGUAGGAAAUGUCAUGGAAUUUUCUGGCUUCAGCCAUCCGAGACAAGUUCGUCUUAGCAGGAGUACAACAUUUCUUUGAUUCUGUUGGAAAGUCAAUCUCCAAUGAGAGUUUCAAGGCUUGAUGGAAUAGAGCUGUAGAGAGUGACAGAGAGAGCUAAGGAAACGACCUCGCAGCUUUCAAGUUUUGAGCUGCUUAACCAAAACAGAGCUUGCAGCGAUGGAGACAUAAACGACGGCGAUUCUAAUCGACCUGGGUAAUAUCAUGGCUGUUGACCUUCAUCAUCAAUUUACGUCCAACCCUUUUUCAAGGUUUUUUAUUUUAUUUUAUUUAUUGUUUUGAUUUUUGUAUGGUACUGGGUUUUGUGGGUUUUUUGCUUCCUAGAACUUAUAUAAAAAUGGUUACUGAACUCAAAGUUCAUAACUUUCAAGCUUAAUCUACAACUAUGGAACUGGGUUUUAUUUUUUUUCCCUAAUUUUUGUUAACGUUUGGAUUUUUAUCAAUAUGAAUUGUUUGAAUAGUAGGGUAUUGGUUUUGGGUAGGAUUUUGAUAGUAAAAUUGAUACUGUCCUCAUAAGCUAGCAUGUAGGCUCUGCACCAUUGAAAAUGUCUAGAGAAGUUUGGUUGUUCAAUGUAGUGUGGGAUGGUUUUGUUCAGUGAUUUAUUUUUAUUGAAUUUUAGGGAGGAAUUAGUGAAUGAAUGUUGCAAGAAGAACUGAGUUAGUUCAAGCUAUUGCAAAUAAACUUUUCAAUUGGCCUUCGACUAUGGACUCUUUGCUUCGUCUACGGCUAGGAAUUUCAUCUGCUUUCAUUUUUCUUAAGCCCCAUCAAAGUAACAAUCUUUAAAAGGGAUUUUAGAAGAAUGGACCAAGAAGAACUUUCUUCUGGAUAACAAUCGAAUCAAACGAUUUUCUUAGUUUUCUUAGUAACUACAUGGUGCCAGUUAUAACUGAGUUGAGAGGAAGUUGAUACCUGUGGAAACCUUUGUUGGCAUUUUGAUUGUAAGACUCAGACUUCAACUUACAGUAAACAUUUUCUUUGUUAUAACUCAAAUAUAUCACUUCCCCAUACAUUGGAUUUUGAAUUUGGUUGUGGGAUUUUAGGUGCAUUGACUGUUAUGAUGAGAAAUACAGUCAGUCAUUUAUACUUUACUAUUGUUGUUUGUCAUUAGUUUUAUUAACAUAGAUUUGUUAUGAAAUGCAGACACUAUACAAAUUUGGGUGCAACUGUGCAAAGAUGGUUGUUAUAAAUUUAGGACCUAUUGAAUGUAUACCCUUUCAGAGGGAAGUAAAUCUGCUAGCUGAUCCAGAUAAGUAUGCUGAAUUCCCAAAUCAAUUGGCACAGUCAUUCAACUCCAAGCUAAGGGGACCAAUAUAAUGAGCCUUAGAAUCUUAUAAACCUAUCACCGAAAACCAAAUAAGCUAUAUGUCCAAUUUCAGUUCAAUCACACCAAUUUGGAUAGUGUUGAUUUGAAAGAAGGUGAUGAAGGGCUUUGUUAAUGAUUAUCUUUUUCUUUUCUCUCUCUCUCUCUCUCUCUCUCUCUUGAAAGUGGAAAAUGAUUGUUAUGGAAUAUGGUUAAAGUUUAUACUAGAUGCAUAACCUUUUACUUGCUUUUUUCUCCAACUUUGGGUAAAUGAUGUUCCGUGAAAUAUGGUUAAAGUGAGUAUCUAUCUCCUCUUUUGCAUAUUUCAGGAAUUAGAAAAGGUUGCUUUUUAUGUUUGAAUGACUGGAGUUGUAUCAUUCAGAUAAUGUAACUGCAAAGACUUAUGUCCUUGGUGAGUGAUGCAAAGGCUAUAAAAUCCCUUACACCAGCAAUAAUGUAUAGCCACACCCCAUAAAAGUAAUUACUAAACUUGGCAUUGUAAUAUGUUGGAUUGUUUAGGAAAUUAGGACUGUUUCUGUGUAUAAGUAUCAUAUGAUUUAGUGAAUUACAAUCUGUGUUGUUUAACAAAUGCGCCAAACUGUUUCAGUUAAGAAGAGUUGCAUAUUUAUCCAUCCAUUUGGUCAUGUUAUUCCUUUGAGUCCUGUGAAAUGUACUUCUUGCUAAUUCAUGUGCUAAUUAUUUGACAUUUUGUUUGGCUAUGCCAUGUAGACAAAUGAUGAAAUGAAAGUGAGUAUUGGAAGCUAAACUUGGCAGUGAGAUGCGCAAAAUUGAGGGCCUUACUGGCAAGUCUUCCUAGCUACUAACAUUUUGGCGACCAAAUUUGAUUUGCUCAGCCUGAUUUCUUCUCAUGUCGCAGAAAAGAAAAAGGGAUUGUGUUUUAAAUCUUUUAGAGCAUGGCACCCAUGGCAUAUGAAAAAAAGGAACUAUUAAUAUGUAAAAGGUUUUCAGUAACCAUUUAUAUUUGUUCCAAGAGUGAUUGUCAAUAAGAAUUCAAAUCUGAUUGGGCUGUC